AUGUCGCUUUUUUGUAGGCUGGGGCAAAGUGCUGGGGGUGCAGUAAAUAAAGGGGGUGAAGAGGAUGUGGGACUCGUGGUAAUUAAGAGGAGGGGAACGGCAAGUCAGUUCAUUUCUUCCUUCUCUCUCUAUUCUUCUCUGUCAAAUCUGAAGAUCUGCAGCGGAACGAAGAAAUCGAUGUGCUCCUCCACGGCCAGCGAGAGAACAGGCGGUGCUGCUGAUGGAAUAAGAGAUGGUUUGCACAGUUUGUCUGAGCCCUUGUUGACCGCGAGAGCAGGGGAAGCGGCAUCAGUAUGUAUGUCUGGAAGGAGUUCAAGAAGGGAGGGGGUUGUUACAUGCAAUGAAAGGGUUUGUUCCGACAACCUGACGGGAGAUAGGUUGACAUUCAAGGCAAACAAACAUACAUACACUGUGAAGUGUCACAAGGGGCGCAAGCAGAGUGCAUUGUAUGGGAGAGGGUGGAGAAAGUUUGUUGCACACAACAAGCUGGGGAAGGGUCAGAUGGUUUUGUUCUACUUGGACCAACAUUCACCAAGGGCGGUUGUUUGCGUGGUCUAG
rnacentral:rRNA from 1 species